UGGCUAUGAAGCAAUAGACUGUGUCGGUAUCGCAGCCCAUUGUGGAGCCCGACCUUGGGUUAUGCGAUAACCUCUAACCGAAUAGGCUCUUUGGAGCUGAAAGAUACGCUUUUA
rnacentral:sRNA from 12 species